UACGAAGGGGGCUAGCGUUGUUCGGAAUUACUGGGCGUAAAGCGUGCGCAGGCGGUUUUGUAAGCCAGAUGUGAAAGCCCCGGGCUCAACCUGGGAAUGGCAUUUGGGACUGCAAGGCUGGAGUUUGGCAGAGGAGACUGGAAUUCCUGGUGUAGCAGUGAAAUGCGUAGAUAUCAGGAGGAACACCGAUGGCGAAGGCAGGUCUCUGGGCUGAAACUGACGCUCAAGCACGAAAGCGUGGGGAGCAAACAGG
rnacentral:rRNA from 1 species